rnacentral:tRNA from 1 species
GGGCCGUAGGACUACCAGGGGUGGUCGCCUGCUUUGCAAGCAGGAUAGUCAGGUGGGUUCGAUUCCCACACGGUCCACCA